CCGCCCCGAGUCUUUUUCAAGGGGCCGCUCCGGAAGGUGGCGGUGCUGCCCAGCUUUUCCCACCAAUCCGUUAAAUCCGCGCACACCGUUUGAUUCCGUAGGCGUUGGAGGUGUUGCAGACGUACAGAAGAGUCGAGAUAAAUUGGUUGCUUUUAAUAGUCAAAUACGAGUAUUAACAUGUUUUUAAAAAAGGAUUUGAUGUCGCCUGAAGGCUGAUCUAAAGUAUUUCUCUUUUAUUAAAGACCCCGCAUAAACUCAUCCGUUACUAUGACGAAUCUUUAAAGAAGGGCAUUUCCGAGUCGCCGAUUGUGUUCCUAAUUCCCCCUUCAUUUUUACUCAAAAGAUUCAGCUCUGACUUUUCUGGAGAUCGACAGAUGUUUCCAGAUAUUUCAGUAUUUGUGAUAAUAUCAUGGGACCUCAAGAUACUAACAAUUGUUACCAUCCAAGAUGUGUGUGAGUAAUCCUAAUUCAUUCUACAUUAGAAAUGCAUGAUGUUAACAUGGGAACCUCAGUCAUAUUUAAAAACAAACAAAAAACAAAGAGACACUUCUCAGCUGCAUGAAGAAUUUUCUCUGCAAAUUAUGCUGUGACUAUUAUAUUCCUGUUUUUCUAGAAGGAACUAGGAUGAAAAUUCUGGUGCAGUCCUUCACAGGAUGUCAAACUCAAUUUCACUGAGGGCUGUAUCAGGGUUGAGUUUGACGUCGGAGGACCAGAGGGCGUGGCCAUGGUGGACGUGACAUGGGACUCAUGUCGGGGGCACUUGUGGUGGCCAAGUGCUAAGGAGACAUUCAGACAGACAGACAUUCAAGUUUAAGUGAUAAAAUCUUCAGUAACAAAUUGAGGUGUGCUGAGAUUUGUGUACUGGCUGCUGCUUUAUUCCUCCCUUUGUGCAAAACAAAACAGGAGGAAGCUACAGUCAUCCGUAUUUCCUCAGAUGCUUCCUGUCAAGAGUCUAAUAGAUACUGCUGGACUUUCAGCCUGAAUGAAGAAGCAAAUACUGCAUGCUGAUUUUUCUCAGGAAGACAAUGAAGGCUGAACAUCUUUAUAUAUCUGUCCCUGCAUCUCAUCAACCUUUUCAACAAUAUAACAUAUCUGAAAAAUUCUGAAUACAAAAAGCAUAUAUAUAUAUAUAUUUGUACAUAAUGAAGGUCAUACAAGUUCCCAGUUGGAACAAUUUUAAAGAGACAAGGACAAACUACGAAACAUAAAAACAUGACCGUCAGACCUGAUGAGAGCCAUGCUAUGUAUAGAUUGGUUCAUAUUUGCCAUCCACAUCAACAGGUGACUGUUCUACCUUGGUUUGCACAUAUAAAGGCACCUUUUUAAAGUGAAAAUUGUCUUGAAGGACUAUCUUUACCAGGAUUUAUUCCUGUUUUGGCUGGACUUUGAUAUGCUCAAAACUGCAUUACAACAUGCUGUUGUGGCAAAUCUUAGGAUUCACUGACACACAGUAAUUGGAUUGCUGUUCAUAGGUUCCAUGACUUUCCAGGAAAAACUUUUGUUAUAUCAAAAUCUGUAAUGUAUUUUUCUCUAUUCACCACUUUGGUUUGCUAGUUUUUGUAACAUUUAUUUCUACCUUCAUCUCCUUGAAUUGUUCGACUGCUUUUUAAGAUUGCAAAGAUUAUAAAUUGCUUCUCCAUUCCAAAGCAAUUUUAAUUAGUGCGAAUUAAAACAUUUAGCACUUUGAAGAAGCAAAAUAAAGCUAGGCUUCAUUGGAAGUCCAUUGUA